CUUCACCGAGCCGAGCCAGAGCGGCUGCUCCUCGGAGUGCUCCUGGCCAUAAGUGGCGAGCAGCGCCUGCGCCUC
rnacentral:antisense_RNA from 1 species